rnacentral:rRNA from 1 species
UCGUCAGUUCGUACUGUGAAGCAUCCUGUUAAGUCAGGCAACGAGCGAGACCCACGCCCACAGUUGCCAGCGUACUCUCUGGAGUGACGGGUACACUGUGGGACCGCCGCUGCUAAAGCGGAGGAAGGAAUGGGCAACGGUAGGUCAGUAUGCCCCGAAUAUCCCGGGCUACACGCGAGCUACAAUGGUUGGUACAAUGGGUAUCUACCCCGAAAGGGGACGGGAAUCUCCUAAAACCAAUCUUAGUUCGGAUUGAGGGCUGCAACUCGCCCUCAUGAAGCUGGAAUCCGUAGUAAUCGCGUUUCAACAGAACGCGGUGAAUACGUCCCUGCUCCUU